rnacentral:lncRNA from 1 species
AGCGGAGAAAAAUUUCGAGCGAAAAGGAAAAAGGAAGGCAACGGACCAGGACAACUACGGUUGGAAAACGGACAGCGGUCGAGGUACAGAAAACUCUGUCACCGCAAGGACUGGGGCUCCCAUCGGGAGUCUCAGCUUUCGGGGAAGUUUUCGACACAAAAUAGGACAACUUACUUAGGGUGACAGAAGCUCGGAUCCCCGAAUUCAAGCCCUAGGAGGGACCCCAGGCCCGAAUGGCCCCAAGCGAGCCUGCAGCCAUUGACGGAAAAAUGACAACCGGAUAUCUUUGAACGGCGUAAAAGUCGAAAAGGAGCUCGGCAAAUAACAAUCCUACAUGAAUAAAAGAGGUCGUCGAUGACCUUAGGACGACGUGAAAAAGAAAAGAAGAAAAGGAGGAAGAGAGAAGAAAGAAGAAUAAAGAAGUUCGACGGAUGACUAUUCGAUGCAAGAUGCAGACGAGAUAACAAAAUCUCCUUUUCAUUUUUCAACCAACAAGGUGUACGUUACAAGACCCGGUGGGCCAGAAAAAAAUAAAUACAUCAUCGACGACAUCGAGAACACGGUUUGGAAAGGAUACGCCGGAAGCCGCUUCAAGCUGCAAACUUCUCUUCCCAUUUCGUGUCCAGUGCGUGUGGCGGGCCUAUCGGCUUUCGCCCCGCCUUGCUUCGCCCCACC